AUGAAGGGCAAUACAAGUUUACAUCAAUCAGAAGUUAGCCCAUAUUAUAAAGACCUGUAUGCAAGGAGAUUCAUACAACAUACUGAUUCUGGUAUGCCAGGCUUUAAACGCCGUCACUUGGAAACCGAAAUCUAUAUGUCUGAAAAUCGUGAAGAAUGGGACAGUAGCAUGUAUCCGGAGGAGUUGUUCCCCAAAAAAGUAUCCAAAAUUACAGAAAUGCAAACCUUUCAUCCUGCAGUUAAUGAAAUUAUUGACUUUAAACCAAAUUCAGCUCUAUCAGCGGGAACAAACGUUUUUCUUUCAGGAUAUUGGAAGAAAGGACUUGUUAUAAACAUUGAAAAUGACGACAGUAAGGGGAAGGUAUAUACCUUAAAAGAGCUUGAAAAUGGCAAAAUUCAUCAAGUUUCUAAAUAUCUAAUUCGUCCAAA